rnacentral:misc_RNA from 1 species
GCACAUCCUGUUGCUCUUAACUAAUUCUGGAGUGGUGUCGUUUCUGCUUGUCUGUAUCUUGUAAAAGUUUCUUGACUAUUUGUGAUGCUCAUUGAAAAACUUGUUUUAUACUCCCUGGUUCAUUGGUGUAUUUACUCGUUAAGAAAUGUACAUGCAUGCUUCCUUUUCAACCUGUGAAACGGAAAAUUGGAGUGACUUCCUAUGUAAUGAAAUGGU